rnacentral:tRNA from 1 species
GCCGACGUGGCGGAAUGGCAGACGCGCUGCGUUCAGGUCGCAGUCCUUUCGCGAGGGUGAAGGUUCAAGUGCUUUCGUCGGCACCA